CCUACGGGUGGCAGCAGUGAGGAAUAUUGGUCAAUGGGAGAGAUCCUGAACCAGCCAAGCCGCGUGAGGGAAGACGGCCCUAUGGGUUGUAAACCUCUUUUGUCGGAGAACAAAACCCGGGACGUGUCCCGGACUGCGUGUAUCCGAAGAAAAAGCAUCGGCUAACUCCGUGCCAGCAGCCGCGGUAAUACGGAGGAUGCGAGCGUUAUCCGGAUUUAUUGGGUUUAAAGGGUGCGUAGGCGGCCUGUUAAGUCAGCGGUAAAAGUGCGGGGCUCAACCCCGGCGAGCCGUUGAAACUGGCGGGCUUGAGUUGGCGAGAAGUACGCGGAAUGCGCGGUGUAGCGGUGAAAUGCAUAGAUAUCGCGCAGAACUCCGAUUGCGAAGGCAGCGUACCGGCGCCAGACUGACGCUGAGGCACGAAAGCGUGGGGAUCGAACAGGAUUAGAUACCCGUGUAGUC
rnacentral:rRNA from 1 species